AACGUAGGAGACAAACGUUAUCCGGAGUUACUGGGCGUAAAGGGCGUGUAGGCGGUUCGUUAAGUCUGGCGUGAAAGCUCUCGGCUAAACCGGGAGAGGUCGUUGGAUACUGGCGGACUAGAGGAUGGUAGAGGCGUGUGGAAUUCCGGGUGUAGUGGUGAAAUGCGUAGAGAUCCGGAGGAACACCAGUGGCGAAGGCGACACGCUGGGCCAUACCUGACGCUAAAGCGCGACAGCAUGGGGAGCAAACGGG
rnacentral:rRNA from 1 species